UACGUAGGGGGCAAGCGUUGUCCGGAAUUAUUGGGCGUAAAGAGCGUGUAGGCGGUCCGGUAAGUCAGCUGUGAAAGUCAAGGGCUCAACCCUUGAAAGCCGGUUGAUACUGUCGGGCUAGAGUCCGGAAGAGGCGAGUGGAAUUCCCGGUGUAGCGGUGAAAUGCGCAGAUAUCGGGAGGAACACCAAUGGCGAAGGCAGCUCGCUGGGACGGUACUGACGCUGAGACGCGAAAGCGUGGGGAGCAAACAGGG
rnacentral:rRNA from 1 species